UACGUAGGGUGCGAGCGUUAAUCGGAAUUACUGGGCGUAAAGCGUGCGCAGGCGGUUUCACAAGUUCGAUGUGAAAGCCCCGGGCUUAACCUGGGAAUGGCAUUGGGGACUGUGGAGCUCGAGUGCGGCAGAGGGAGGUGGAAUUCCACGUGUAGCAGUGAAAUGCGUAGAGAUGUGGAGGAACACCGAUGGCGAAGGCAGCCUCCUGGGCCGACACUGACGCUCAUGCACGAAAGCGUGGGGAGCAAACAGG
rnacentral:rRNA from 1 species